rnacentral:rRNA from 1 species
GACGAACGCUGGCGGCGUGCUUAACACAUGCAAGUCGAACGGUGAAGCGCCUUCCUUUUUGGUGGGUGUGGAUGAGUGGCGAACGGGUGAGUAACACGUGAGUAACCUGCCCCCUUCUUCUGGAUAACCGCAUGAAAGUGUGGCUAAUACGGGAUAUUCUGGGUCUGUCGCAUGAUGGGUCUGGGAAAGAUAUUGUUUCGGUGGGGGAUGGUCUCGCGGCCUAUCAGCUUGUUGGUGGGGUGAUGGCCUACCAAGGCGGUGACGGGUAGCCGGCCUGAGAGGGUGGACGGUCACACUGGGACUGAGACACGGCCCAGACUCCUACGGGAGGCAGCAGUGGGGAAUAUUGCACAAUGGGCGCAAGCCUGAUGCAGCGACGCCGCGUGAGGGAUGGAGGCCUUCGGGUUGUGAACCUCUUUCGCCAGUGAAGCAGGCCUGCCUCGUUUGUGGGUGGGUUGACGGUAGCUGGAUAAGAAGCGCCGGCUAACUACGUG